rnacentral:rRNA from 1 species
ACGAACGCUGGCGGCGUGCUUAACACAUGCAAGUCGAACGGUGAAGCGCCUUCCUUUUUGGUGGGUGUGGAUGAGUGGCGAACGGGUGAGUAACACGUGAGUAACCUGCCCCCUUCUUCUGGAUAACCGCAUGAAAGUGUGGCUAAUACGGGAUAUUCUGGGUCUGUCGCAUGAUGGGUCUGGGAAAGAUAUUGUUUCGGUGGGGGAUGGGCUCGCGGCCUAUCAGCUUGUUGGUGGGGUGAUGGCCUACCAAGGCGGUGACGGGUAGCCGGCCUGGGAGGGUGGACGGUCACACUGGGACUGAGACACGGCCGAGACUCAGACGGGAGGCAGCAGUGGAGAAUAGUGCACAGUGGGCGAAAGCCUGAUGCAGCGACGCCGCGUGAGGAAUGGAGGCCUGCGGGUUGUGAACCUCUUUCGCCAGUGAAGCAGGCCUGCCUCGUUUGUGGGUGGGUUGACGGUAGCUGGAGAAGAAGCGCCGGCUAACUACGUG